GGGAGAAAGUGGCAGAAGCAUAUUUUUCUAUGGAGAUAUGCAGCGAGAAAACAGAGAUCAAAUUUUACCUAGCAACUACAUGGACAAGAGCAUGCAUUAUAUGAAAGGUACCUUCACGUCUUGAAGACAUUCUGUUAAGAUUGCUAUUUCAGUGCAGUAAAUUUCAGAUUUGUCAAGGAGGUGGAAAUACUGACGGUGGUCUCAUUAGGCUUUUUGAUUUAGCCUGAACCGAAUGAUUAUAUCCAAUGUAAGGU